rnacentral:rRNA from 1 species
GACGAACGCUGGCGGCGUGCUUAACACAUGCAAGUCGAACGAUGAACCGGUUUCGGCCGGGGAUUAGUGGCGAACGGGUGAGUAACACGUGGGCAAUCUGCCCUUCACUCUGGGAUAAGCCCGGGAAACUGGGUCUAAUACCGGUUACGACACUCCGAGGCAUCUUGGGGUGUGGAAAGUUCCGGCGGUGCAGGAUGAGCCCGCGGCCUAUCAGCUUGUUGGUGGGGUAAUGGCCUACCAAGGCGACGACGGGUAGCCGGCCUGAGAGGGUGACCGGCCACACUGGGACUGAGACACGGCCCAGACUCCUACGGGAGGCAGCAGUGGGGAAUAUUGCACAAUGGGCGAAAGCCUGAUGCAGCGACGCCGCGUGCGGGAUGACGGCCUUCGGGUUGUAAACCUCUUUCAGCAGGGAAGAAGCGAAAGUGACGGUACCUGCAGAAGAAGCACCGGCUAACUACGUG